CCAGACGGUUGGACGGCCGCUGCCAAAGGUAACUUUGGUGGAGGAAAGUCCGGGCUCCACGGAAAUACGGUGCCGGCUAACAGCCGGCGGGGGUGACCCCAGGGACAGUGCCACAGAAAACAAACCUCCUCCCAGGCUUGCCUGAAGGGAAGGGUGAAACGGUGCGGUAAGAGCGCACCGCGGCCUUGGUAACAAGGCUGGCAGGGUAAACCCCACCGGGAGCAAGACCGAAUAGGGGCGGCCGGCUUUGUGUGAAAGCAUGGAAGCGGGAGUAUUUUCGAUCCGCCGCCCGGGUUGGUCGCGCGAGGCGUGUUGCAAAACACGUCCCAGAGGAAUGGCCGUCCAGCGCCCGCGAGGGUGUGGACAGAACCCGGCUUACAGGCCGUCUGGAUAU
rnacentral:RNase_P_RNA from 1 species